GGUUGGAUCAUUACUGAUUUUUGAUUUUAGUUGGUAGAGAAUCUUUUUUAAGAUUCUCCCACUAAAAUCUAUCAACCCUAUGUGCAAUGUGAUGUUUUUUGGGUGUUUGCCUAGCAGCACCCAGCAGUUUAUAAAACCCUUUUUAUUUUUAAGACUGAGAUUUACCUAAUGUAAAAAUUAACAACUUUUGACAACGGAUCUCUUGGCUCUCGCAACGAUGAAGAACGCAGCGAAAUGCGAUACGUAAUGUGAAUUGCAGAAUUCCGUGAAUCAUCUAAUUUUUGAACGCACAUUGCACUCUGCUGAAAGGCAGAGUAUGCCUGUUCGAGAAUCUAUAAUAUUUCUUUUACCUUUUUUACUUUUGUAAUAAAGGUAAAGAUUUGAACUUUCUCUACUAAGAGUGGUUUGAAAUCUAUAGCUGGUAUUGAUCAAGAGUAAUGACUCUAAGCAAUAUAACAGAACAGUAUGUGAAUGAAACUUUGGUUUCUCAUAAUGCCUAGUAAGUUGUCGCCUAGAUAGCUGUUGAUUAAUAGUAGUUCAUAACUAUUAAAGUUACUAGUAAUAGUGACUUUGAACCAUGGUCUCAAAUCAGGUAGGAUUACCCGCUGAACUUAAGCAUAUCAAUAAGCGGAGGAAAAGAAACUAACAAGGAUUCCCUUAGUAACGGCGAGUGAAGCGGGAAGAGCUCAAAUUUGAAAUCUCACCUUUGGUGCGAAUUGUAGUUUAGAGAAACGUUUUCGAGUUGAACAGUAGGUACAAGUCCAUUGGAACAUGGCAUCAUAGAGGGUGAAAAUCCCGUCUUUGACCUAUUGCUUCAAUUCAUAUGAUACGUUUUCCAAGAGUCGGUUUGUUUGGGAAUGCAGACCAAAAUGGGUGGUAAAUACCAUCUAAAGCUAAAUAUUGGCGAGAGACCGAUAGCGAACAAGUACCGUGAGGGAAAGAUGAAAAGAACUUUGAAAAGAGAGUUAAAUAGUACGUGAAAUUGUCAAAAGGGAAACGUUUGAAACCAGUAUUGUAUGCUGAAAUUUAGCUGUGGUUUACUGCAGUGUCCUUUUCAGUUUACAAGUCAACAUCAGUUUGAUUUAAAGUAAAAAGCUAAUGGAAGGUGGCCUUCUGGGUGUUAUAGCCAUUAGUCAUGCUUUGAAUUGGACUGAGGUCUGCAGCGUAUGCUUAGGAUGUUGACGAAAUGGUUUUAAGCGACCCGUCUUGAAACACGGACCAAGGAGUCUAACAUAUAUGCGAGUAUUUGGGUGGCAAACCCUUUUGCGUAAUGAAAGUGAAAAGGUGGGAUCCUUUUGGUGCACCAUCGACCGCGCCAGAUUAUUACUAUCUCGGCGUGAGUAUGAGCAUAUAUGCUGGGACCCGAAAGAUGGUGAACUAUACUUGAAUAGGGUGAAGCCAGAGGAAACUCUGGUGGAGGCUCGUAGCGGUUCUGACGUGCAAAUCGAUCGUCAAAUUUGAGUAUAGGGGCGAAAGACUAAUCGAACCAUCUAGUAGCUGGUUCCCUC
rnacentral:misc_RNA from 1 species